UACGUAGGGGGCAAGCGUUGUCCGGAUUUAUUGGGCGUAAAGAGCGUGUAGGCGGCCAGGUAGGUCUGCUGUGAAAACUCGAGGCUUAACCUCGAGCUAUCGGCGGAAACCAUCUGGCUAGAGUCCGGAAGAGGAGAAUGGAAUUCCCGGUGUAGCGGUGAAAUGCGCAGAUAUCGGGAGGAACACCAGUGGCGAAGGCGACUACCUGGCCUGUUUCUUGACGCUGAGGCGCGAAAGCUAGGGGAGCAAACGGG
rnacentral:rRNA from 1 species